CCCAGACUCCUACGGGAGGCAGCAGUGGGGAAUAUUGCGCAAUGGGCGAAAGCCUGACGCAGCGACGCCGCGUGAGGGAUGAAGGUCUUCGGAUCGUAAACCUCUGUCAGCAGGGAAGAACGGUCACUGUGCUAAUCAGCAGUGAAUUGACGGUACCUGCAAAGGAAGCACCGGCUAACUCCGUGCCAGCAGCCGCGGUAAUACGGAGGGUGCGAGCGUUAAUCGGAAUUACUGGGCGUAGAGAGCGCGUAGGCGGGAUAGCAAGUCAGAUGUGAAAUCCGCAGGCUCAACCUGCGAACUGCAUUUGAAACUGUUUCCCUUGAGUAUCGGAGAGGUCAUCGGAAUUCCUAGUGUAGCGGUGAAAUGCGUAGAUAUUAGGAAGAACACCAGUGGCGAAGGCGGAUGACUGGACGACAACUGACGGUGAGGCGCGAAAGCGUGGGGAGCAAACAGGAUUAGAUACCCCCGUA
rnacentral:rRNA from 1 species